rnacentral:rRNA from 1 species
CUACGGGACGCUGCAGUGGGGAAUAUUGGACAAUGGGGGCAACCCUGAUCCAGCAAUACCGCGUGUGUGAAGAAGGCCUUAGGGUUGUAAAGCACUUUAGUUGGGGAAGAAGAAUAAUUGUUUAAGAGAUGGUUAUUUUGACGGUACCCAAAGAAUAAGCACCGGCUAACUCUGUGCCAGCAGCCGCGGUAAUACAGAGGGUGCAAGCGUUAAUCGGAAUUACUGGGCGUAAAGGGCGCGUAGGCGGGUCAUUAAGUUAGAUGUGAAAUCCCUGGGCUUAACCUAGGAACUGCAACUAAUACUGAUGAUCUAGAGUGCAGUAGAGGGUAGUGGAAUUUCCGGUGUAGCGGUGAAAUGCGUAGAUAUCGGAAGGAACACCAGUGGCGAAGGCGGCUACCUGGACUGACACUGACGCUGAGGCGCGAAAGCGUGGGGAGCAAACAGGAUUAGAUACCCCCGUAGUC